rnacentral:rRNA from 1 species
UACGGGGGGGGCAAGCGUUGUUCGGAAUUACUGGGCGUAAAGCGUGCGUAGGCGGCUCGCUAAGUCGGUUGUGAAAUCCCUGGGCUUAACCUGGGAACUGCAGUCGAUACUGGCGGACUAGAGUACGGUAGAGGGUGGCGGAACUCCGGGUGUAGCGGUGAAAUGCGUAGAUAUCCGGAAGAACACCGAUGGCGAAGGCAACCACCUGGGCCUGUACUGACGCUGAGGUACGAAAGCGUGGGGAGCAAACAGG